UUUCAAAUCAAAAUUACUCCCAGGAACAAUACAAUCAGUUUGUAAAGAUGUUCAAACACAUGAGGAUGGAAGAGGGUACCAACUCAGGGAUGGAGAUCAAUGCUAAUGCAGUGGCUGGGCCUUUCAAUGAAGAGGCCUCAAGUUUUUGGUGAAGUUUCAGAAGGUCUAUAUCUGCUCAAGCCUAAAGUCAAAGAGUAUGUUUUCAAUUUCAGCAAGAACAAAGUUGUUUUACCUUCUACAGUUUCUAAUAGUUCUUCAGUUUCCUUUCCCUGUUUCAGUAAUGCUAGUUCUUUUUCUUUACCAAAUUGUAGUAGUACUACACCUAAUGUAAAGUUAUGGCACAUUAGAUUGGGCCAUUUACCUUUCUCAUCAAUGAAGAAUGUCAGUUUUAUUUCAAUUCCUU